rnacentral:rRNA from 1 species
UACGUAGGGUGCGAGCGUUAAUCGGAAUUACUGGGCGUAAAGCGUGCGCAGGCGGUUCGUCGUGUCUGAUGUGAAAGCCCCGGGCUCAACCUGGGAAUGGCAUUGGAAACUGGCGGACUAGAGUGUGGCAGAGGGGGGUGGAAUUCCGCGUGUAGCAGUGAAAUGCGUAGAGAUGCGGAGGAACACCGAUGGCGAAGGCAGCCACCUGGGCUAACACUGACGCUAAGGCACGAAAGCGUGGGGAGCAAACAGG